rnacentral:rRNA from 1 species
AUGGUGGAAGGAUCGGACGAGGAUAUUCAGAACCUCAAGUUCCUCCUCCUAUGCUUUCAAGAGAUGCCGGGCCUCACGAUUAACUUCGCCAAAAGUGAGGUGAUGGUCCUUGGGUACUCCCAGGCGGAAGCUCAGCGAAUCACCAAUCGCUUGAACUGUCGUUUGGGAUCCUUCCCGACUACUUACCUAGCCAUGUCAAUUAGUGACACACGUCUACUGGAGAAGGACUUUCGCCCAAUAAUCGCCAAGUUUCAACCUAGGAUGGAGCCUUGGCAGGGGAGAUGGCUCUCUAAAGCCGCUCGAGUGAUUCUGAUGAACUCCUCCGUUAUUAGCCUUUUGAUGUACAUAAUGAGAUUCUAUAGUCUACAUGAAUCCCUUCAUCAUAAGGUCACCAAACUCCUCUCCAGAUUCUUCUGGGCUGGAGAAAACAAUAAA